rnacentral:rRNA from 1 species
UGUGGUUUAAUUCGAAGCAACGCGAAGAACCUUACCAGGUCUUGACAUCCCUCUGAAUAUUCUAGAGGUAGAGUAGGCCUUCGGGACAGAGGAGACAGGUGGUGCAUGGUUGUCGUCAGCUCGUGUUGUGAGAUGUUGGGUUAAGUCCCGCAACGAGCGCAACCCUUGAUCUUUGUUGCCAGCACAUGAUGGUGGGCACUCUAAGAUGACUGCCGGUGACAAACCGGAGGAAGGUGGGGAUGACGUCAAAUCAUCAUGCCCCUUAUGACCUGGGCUACACACGUACUACAAUGGUCGGUACAGAGGGCCGCAAUACCGCGAGGUGGAGCAAAUCUCAGAAAGCCGAUCCCAGUUCGGAUUGUAGGCUGCAACUCGCCUACAUGAAGCCGGAAUUGCUAGUAAUCGCGGAUCAGCAUGCCGCGGUGAAUACGUUCCCGGGUCUUGUACACACCGCCCGUCACACCACGAGAGUUUACAACACCCGAAGUCGGUGAGGUAACCGCAAGGAGCCAGCCGCCGAAGGUGGGGUAGA